GGAGCUGCUUGCAAUUUCUUGUUGUUGGAUUAAAGAAACAAGGGUAACCCCUAAAAAUAAGUCUUCAGAUCACGGCCUGUUCCAAAGAGUGACAAGGGCAUCCAAAACUGAGUGUUUUGACCGAAUUGUUCAAACAUGGAUAUGUCACCCACAACAGGGUCUUCUAUACAUCAUUAGAUUAUAGCUCUACAGGAAAAAUGUUAAAGAAGAAAUAAGGGAAAACAAGCUGAAUUAAUAAUCUUCCAGCAAAAAAAUUCUUUGGAGCCAUCCUCACUCAGUGAGCCUUGCCUAUAUUUUGGGGUCCAAGAUCUGUGGAACUUGUUACAUCGACAUUGUAGAUUUUGUUUGGAA